UUUAUAGGUUAGCAGUAUCAGGUAGCCAUAACUGUAUAGCUAUACCUCAUGAUAACAGACAUAUAAGGUUGUAUGAUAUCCAUGGUAACAGAAUUGGGAGGUUGCCAAGAAGUAAUAGACAGGUUUGUUGAGAUUGCUAUUGUGUUACUGUACAUGUGGGUUCAUUAAUUUUUGUGGGUACCAUAUUUUGUGGAUUGAGGAAAACAUAUUUGUUUGUUGAUAUUUAAUUGCCUAGGUUUGAUGAAGUCUUCAUACAAGCCUAUAGAAAAUUUGCUAUACUUUGAACAUUUUAAAAUUUGAUGGUUCAUUUGUACCUACGAAAUCCACAAAAAUUGGUAUUCAAUGUAUAAUGAUGUAUUCACUGUCUUACUGAUUUUGAUCAAUACCUUAGGAAUUCAGUUUGACUUGUGUAUUAUAAUUACAUACAUUAAAAUUUACAUUUGCUACAUUAAAACCACGGGUUGACUAUACUGUGAAUACAAAUUUAAAUAUAUUGAAAACACUGAACCAAAAUGAGAUGUGAUAAGUGUUGACUUUACUUAUAAAGUAUAUCGAAAGCUGCCGGCAUACAUUUUAUUUCAUGUGCAAGUUCUUUAAUUAGAAUCUUUUACAUUACAGAAAUUAGUAAUAUUCCUGGAAACACACAUUCACACUUGAAUAUUUUAAAAUGGUUAACAUUUACUGUUGUAACUAUUUUAAAAGUUGUUCAUUUAUUGAAUUUGGAAGUUGAAACUGUAGAUUACAACAGAGUGAUUGAUUUUUACAGUUUUAACUUUACUCAAAGGUUCAGGAAAGAGAUGGUUGAUAUGGAAUAAAAAACAAUUUUUAAUGAAGCUUAAUCUCGCUUUAUUUUUUUUCAGGGUCAUAGUAAGAUGGUGACAUCAGUAUGCUAGUCUGAGACAGAAAACACAGUGUGCAAUCUCUUCUCAUGUGGUUUUGAUAGACAAGUACUGGGAUGGACUAUUAAUUUUCAAAGUAAAGAAUAAAAAACUUUGAAAUAGAGAGAAUACAUAUGUGUGAUUAGUGCAAUACUUUAAGUGUAUAUGUUAUCUGUCAACAGAUAUCUGACUUUAUGCUUACAUUUAUUGAGAUUAGAUUUGUUUAAUUUCUUCUGUGUGUAUUUGUUUUUGUUUACAACCACCAGGAGUAUAGAAAUAUGGAUAAUAAUGUGUUUUUGCCAGUCAGCUAGUUAAACCGGUGCUAAGGGGUUGUCAAAUUUCUGUGCCAGAUGAAAUUCAUGUUGGAAAGUGCUCAAAUAAAUAUUGCACAAGUCCUGAAAGGUUUUUAAAAUGCAAGUUUUGGGUUUUGGGAAACCUAUAUAGUCUCAAUUUGUCAUAUAAAAUGAACAUUGUAGAAAAUUAUGAAAAAAUAUUAUAAAUACAAUACAUAUACAACAUUGACUUUUCACAUGUGUUUUUAGUAUAUAUGUCAUUAUCCCUCAGGGAUGCUUCUGUGAAUCUUAUUUAUAGCUGACAGAAUAUAGUUCAGGCUGAAUAGUUAGAUGUAUUUGUUGUAAAUUGGUAAGAAAGAGAUCUUUUAAUUGAGCUGAGCUUUAAUAUGUGAUAUCCAAGGC
rnacentral:lncRNA from 1 species